UACGGGGGGGGCAAGCGUUGUUCGGAAUUACUGGGCGUAAAGGGCUCGUAGGCGGCCAACUAAGUCAGACGUGAAAUCCCUCGGCUUAACCGGGGAACUGCGUCUGAUACUGGAUGGCUUGAGUUCGGGAGAGGGAUGCGGAAUUCCAGGUGUAGCGGUGAAAUGCGUAGAUAUCUGGAGGAACACCGGUGGCGAAGGCGGCAUCC
rnacentral:rRNA from 1 species